AGAGUUUCACCCUAAGAAGAAAGGGGAAGCAGGUGGAAAAGCAAUUAAAAAAAAAUCAGCAUCUCUCUCUAGCCUAUUAUCUCCUGUUAGACACAGCCCAGAAAAUGAAUAGAGACAAGUCCUGGCUGGGUCUGGGUUCAGAAACAUAAUAGAAGGAUUCAUCUAAUCUGUCGGCCACUGUGGAGGAAGUGAACCUUCUAGAUCCUGCUGACUCAUACAAUGAGUUUUGUGUGGACCAUCAGACAAAAGGGCUGGCUGGUGAAGGUGGCUGUUGUCUGGAAAUUCCUCCCAGCUCUCCUCUAAUUAUGUCAUAAGGACUGGAGGCCCCUUAGCCUGCUUGUGAUAACACGCAAGGAAAUAUGGGCCAACUCUUCACAUGAACACAAGAUAUUUCCAUGCUAGCCUUUUGCAAGUAACAACAGAGAGAGCUCUGUGCAGUUUUCACUGGAAUGCCUGUGGAUUGCUUGUGUCAUAACUGUAAUCUAAAGAGUUGUCCAUUUGUUGAUUCCUUUGUAUUUGUAUUGGUAGAAUUGCCACUAUCAAACCAAGAUCUUUAGCUGCCUUUGUAUCAACUUCUUUGGAGCUUAUGUGAUUUUCCAGAAAAUUUCCAAGGCAUAGUUUUGUCCCUAAGUCCCAUGAAUAUGUAAUAUUUUGUGUCUCUCUAUUAAAAUAGCACUUUU
rnacentral:lncRNA from 1 species